GAUGAACGCUGGCGGCGUGCCUAAUACAUGCAAGUCGAGCGAACGGACGAGAAGCUUGCUUUUCUGAUGUUAGCGGCGGACGGGUGAGUAACACGUGGAUAACCUACCUAUAAGACUGGGAUAACUUCGGGAAACCGGAGCUAAUACCGGAUAAUAUUUUGAACCGCAUGGUUCAAAAGUGAAAGACGGUCUUGCUGUCACUUAUAGAUGGAUCCGCGCUGCAUUAGCUAGUUGGUAAGGUAACGGCUUACCAAGGCAACGAUGCAUAGCCGACCUGAGAGGGUGAUCGGCCACACUGGAACUGAGACACGGUCCAGACUCCUACGGGAGGCAGCAGUAGGGAAUCUUCCGCAAUGGGCGAAAGCCUGACGGAGCAACGCCGCGUGAGUGGUGAAGGUCUUCGGAUCGUAAAACUCUGUUAUUAGGGAAGAACAUAUGUGUAAGUAACUGUGCACAUCUUGACGGUACCUAAUCAGAAAGCCACGGCUAACUACGUGCCAGCAGCCGCGGUAAUACGUAGGUGGCAAGCGUUAUCCGGAAUUAUUGGGCGUAAAGCGCGCGUAGGCGGUUUUUUAAGUCUGAUGUGAAAGCCCACGGCUCAACCGUGGAGGGUCAUUGGAAACUGGAAAACUUGAGUGCAGAAGAGGGAAGUGGAAUUCCAUGUGUAGCGGUGAAAUGCGCAGAGAUAUGGAGGAGCACCAGUGGCGAAGGCGACUUUCUGGUCUGUAACUGACGCUGAUGUGCGAAAGCGUGGGGAUCAAACAGGAUUAGAUACCCUGGUAGUCCACGCCGUAAACGAUGAGUGCUAAGUGUUAGGGGGUUUCCGCCCCUUAGUGCUGCAGCUAACGCAUUAAGCACUCCGCCUGGGGAGUACGACCGCAAGGUUGAAACUCAAAGGAAUUGACGGGGACCCGCACAAGCGGUGGAGCAUGUGGUUUAAUUCGAAGCAACGCGAAGAACCUUACCAAAUCUUGACAUCCUUUGACAACUCUAGAGAUAGAGCCUUCCCCUUCGGGGGACAAAGUGACAGGUGGUGCAUGGUUGUCGUCAGCUCGUGUCGUGAGAUGUUGGGUUAAGUCCCGCAACGAGCGCAACCCUUAAGCUUAGUUGCCAUCAUUAAGUUGGGCACUCUAAGUUGACUGCCGGUGACAAACCGGAGGAAGGUGGGGAUGACGUCAAAUCAUCAUGCCCCUUAUGAUUUGGGCUACACACGUGCUACAAUGGACAAUACAAAGGGCAGCGAAACCGCGAGGUCAAGCAAAUCCCAUAAAGUUGUUCUCAGUUCGGAUUGUAGUCUGCAACUCGACUACAUGAAGCUGGAAUCGCUAGUAAUCGUAGAUCAGCAUGCUACGGUGAAUACGUUCCCGGGUCU
rnacentral:rRNA from 1 species